UUUACAAAAAAAAAUUCCAUAUCUAGCCUCCUUUAUAAAUAUAUUCCCAAUCUAGCCUCAUUCUUAUAGAUUUGAUAGAUUAGGAAAAAAAAUAAUAAGUUAAUAAUUAAGUGAACGUAAUGUGAUUUUAUAUAUGAACACUUUUAAAUUAUAUUGACUUGUAUAAUCAAAUUAAGUACUAGUAGUACUAAUAAUAAAUUAUAAUUUAAAAAUAUUAUUAUUAAUAAAUAAAUUUUUUAUUAAGUGUUCAUAUAUAAAAUUAUAUUACAUACAUUUAAUUUAAAAAGAGAGAGAAAAAAAGAUAAUAUCCACCCACUUAACAUAUUAAUCUAUAUACAAAUUAUUAACUUAUUAUUUUUUUUCUUAAUCUAUAAAAAUGAGGCUAGAUUGAGAAUAUUUUUUAAAAAAAUAUUAGAUAGAAAAAAAAAAUUUUUGUAAAGAUGCUAGAUAAGUAAAUGAUCCGGAAACUAUAGAAGUAGUAUUUAAAGU
rnacentral:lncRNA from 1 species